rnacentral:rRNA from 1 species
GACGAACGCUGGCGGCGUGCUUAACACAUGCAAGUCGAACGGAAAGGCCCUGCUUUUGUGGGGUGCUCGCGUGGCGAACGGGUGAGUAACACGUGAGUAACCUGCCCUUGACUUUGGGAUAACUUCAGGAAACUGGGGCUAAUCCCGGAUAGGAGCUCCUGCUGCAUGGUGGGGUUUGGAAAGUUUCGGCGGGUGGGGAUGGACUCGCGGCUUAUCAGCUUGUUGGUGGGGUAGUGGCUUACCAAGGCAUUGACGGGUCGCCGGCCUGAGAGGGUGACCGGCCACAUUGGGACUGAGAUACGGCACAGACCCCUACGGGAGGCAGCAGUGGGGAAGAUUGCACUAUGGGCGGAAGGCUGAUGCAGCAACGCCGCGUGCGGGAUGACGGCCUUCGGGUUGUAAACCGCUUUCGCCUGUGACGAAGCGUGAGUGACGGUAAUAGGUAAAGAAGCACCGGCUAACUACGUG